GGCCCGUGAAUUGCGCAUGGGCGCAAGCCUGAUCAGCAACGCCGCGUGGGGGAUGAAGGCCUUCGGGUUGUAAACCUCUUUCGACCGGGACGAUAAUGACGGUACCCGGAGAAGAAGCCCCGGCUAACUUCGUGCCAGCAGCCGCGGUAAUACGGG
rnacentral:rRNA from 1 species